GUUCAGCGCUCCGACUGCGUGUUCAGCCGACACACUCAGGCGUACUUUUUUUUUUGUACAGAACUGCGCGUGUACUGCGCGUACUCAACAGGGAAAGAAGAGGCAGAUCAUUCCUGCAGCACUACACCAAUGCCUAAAUUGUUCUUUAAAUGUGCACAGCUGUACCACUGUUUAAUGCUACUCAGACUUCAGUGAAGAUGGACUACAGCCUACACAUUAAACUGACUUCAGCAUUAAAAAUAUUACUUUAAAAAGAAAUCUUUCUAGAGGCAGUAUGGGUAUUUGAAUGAGAGGACUCAGAAGAAAACAAUCUAUAAAAUCAGUGAGAUGUUUUCAAAGGACUGACUCCUUUUCAUUUCCCUUUUCAUGCUUGGACAUAAAUAAUAAAGAAAGCUUGUGUGUUUUGGUGGCUCACAGGGUUAAAGUGCAUACAACAUGUUCAGAGUGCAAGUCAUGAGCCAUGACCUUUGUUAAUAUAAAGCCCUGUCUUGGCGGUUCACUGGUUCCACAUCUUAUGACUGAUCAUGUGAACAUGUAGCAGCUGUUACCAGAACCCCCCGUGUCUCUCAGCGCUAAGACCC